CACGUAGGGCGCAAGCGUUGUCCGGAAUUAUUGGGCGUAAAGGGCUCGUAGGCGGUUUGUCGCGUCGGGAGUGAAAUCCACUGGCUUAACUGGUGGCUUGCUUUCGAUACGGGCAGACUGGAGGUAUGCAGGGGAGAACGGAAUUCCUGGUGUAGCGGUGAAAUGCGCAGAUAUCAGGAGGAACACCGGUGGCGAAGGCGGUUCUCUGGGCAUGUCCUGACGCUGAGGAGCGAAAGUGUGGGGAGCGAACAGG
rnacentral:rRNA from 1 species